CACACGCGGAGAACGCUCGAAGAGCAUCCGGUGGCCGGCGGCAGCGCCGGUCGCAGCUCCGCGGAGGCUUAACCGGAGAAACUGUAAUGGC
rnacentral:sRNA from 2 species